GGAUAGAGGCGCGAAACAGCAAGAGUAUCCGGCGUCCACGGGCAGAGCACCCCGCCGGAGAAAGGGCGUUUCGCCGAAGGGCCGGACCUUUGCCUGGGGGCCGGUGGCCUGGGCCGUCGGGAGAAUAUCUCACGGACUGCCACAUCAUCUGUGUGGAGCGCUAUCGU
rnacentral:ncRNA from 1 species